CAAAAAGAUUUUGAAAAGAAAGAGCAAAGUACAGUCACAAAACUCAAAAGAAACUUUUGGAAAGGAAACCAAGAUAAGAGAGGGGAAGUGAGGAAAGAAAGCACCCAUAGCAAAAAAUAGGAAUCAACACAAAAGGCAAACAUGUCCAGGCUAGGUUGCUGAAGACAGAACCUUUUCUGGGAUGCUGGUGACUGACUGACGGUGAAGUUUAUAUUGACCAUGACAAUACCUGCCUCAGCAAGAUACACAGUAACAGAGAAGAAACACAACACGAAAUAAAUAAAACAUUAAAAAAAAAAUUAAAAAAAAAAAAAAGUAGUCGGAGUGAGAAGCAUCACAUAGAUGUUUUUCCAUACUGAGAAGACGGUUGGAUUACCCACACUUGUGAUGGAAAAGCACGGCAUUAAUUACCCUCCUUUGUCUCCUUCAAUAGGUCCUAGGCUUUGUAAAAGCCGAGUCCAUGUGAAUUCUCCACGUCUGGCAUGCCAAAGUCUAGAAAGUGCAUUUAAACAGUGACUGAAUAAAUUCCUAGAUGAUGGAUUUGGGUUACAUAAGAGGACAUCUGGCAGCAUCUGGGAUCUGCUGCAGGAUUGAAAGGUCCUGCUCUAUGCCUCAGGUUACAAGUAUGGACAAAAUGGACCAGCUUCAAAAACACUUCUGGAGAAAUACUAAUUGGAUGUACUGCUCUAUUAAUGAUUGCAGAUAAAGGACAAAGAAGACUUCAGCGUUUCCAGCCUGAGUGCUUUGGGAUAUGUUAAUUCUACUGACCAAGGCAGGCCAAUGGGGAGAGAAGGGGAAAGAAGAAGAAUGCACACUUAGGUAUGUUUCUUAUGAGUUCACUGUGAACCAUUCAAGCAGAAAUGUCCAAUAAAUAGGGAUAUGCUCUAGGAGUUAACUGGAUCACAUACUUACACGUGACAAAUCUUGGCCAACACCUCCUGGACUAAUUGUUUUAAAUCAAAUCUACUGAUUAUAAGGGGGUGGGGAAAAGAGUAAGAAAUAAUUAGAAAAGGCAAAUUUUCUAAUGAAAAUUUGUUUGGGAGAUAGAAAAUUUCAAUGGAAAUCUGAGGCUUAGAAAUGUAUCUCUCACUGGACAGCUUAACACAAAGCAAACAAAACCAUGUCUUUCAGGUUUGGCUUGCUUAGAGACUCAGAAAAAUGACAAAGGUUUUAGUCACCAAUAAAUUUAGAUUACUUU